GACGAACGCUGGCGGCGUGCUUAACACAUGCAAGUCGAACGGAAAGGCCCGGCGUUUGCGGCGUGCUCGAGAGGCGAACGGGUGAGUAACACGCGAGUAACCUGCCCUUGACUGAGGGAUAACUCUAGGAGACUGGGGCGAAUACCGGGUAGAAGCUCCUGCUGCACGGGGGGGGUUGGUAAGAUUCGGCGGUUGGGGCUGGACUCGCGGGUUAUGAGCUUGUUUGGGGGGUAGUGGCGUACCAAGGCUUUGACGGGUAGCCGGCCUGAGAGGGUGACCGGCCACAUUGGGCCUGCGAUACGGCCCAGACUCCUACGGGCGGCAGCAGGGGGGAAUAUUGCGCAGUGGGCGGAAGCCAGAUGCAGCAGCGCCGCGUGCGGGAUGCUGGGCUUCGGGUUGUAAACAGAUUUGGACUGUGCUGAAGAGUGAGUGACGGUAAUGGGUAAGGAAGCCCCGGCUAACUACGUG
rnacentral:rRNA from 1 species